ensembl:lncRNA
GUUAAAUAUACAAAGACACUGGAUACACAUUUUCUCAUCUGAUCAUAAUCAUCAUAAAGAAUAAUCAGAUUUCAUAUCUACCAGAUACGAGUUACAUAAGUACGACUCAUGAACCCAUGAAGAAACAAAUGUUAUCAUUAAAACAUAAAAUGUUAUGAUUUCAUAUUUACAAAACACAGACUUCUUAAUUCAUAGAUAAUUCUUUAUACCUCUGAAAAUGUGGGUAUUAUUAAUGCCCAAGACGGCAAUAUAAUAUGACAUAUAAUAUAAAUUUAAAAGAAAAAAAGAUCCAAACAUACUAUUUAACAUAUUAAUAUGAGAAACUACCACAAUUACAGGUAUACAUUUUACAAUGAUAUUUUACAUUAGUUAUGAAAACACAACUUCAUAAAAAAACAGAGAUUUCAUAAUUGGGACAAACAGUCACCUUCUAUACCGCUUAAUCUUAGAGGGUUACAGGAAUUAUGACAAACAAAUACUGUUAUUAUGCGAGCUAAAUCUCAUAUCUUUGUUCAAAAUUUAAAACAUACCUCAUAAUUACGUAAAGACAAAAAUAUCAGUAAUAGAUUUGAACACAAAUGAAUAGAUACAUAUUAUAUCUACGAAUAUCCUAAAAAAUACACACAUGUUAUACCAUUAGAGGACCGAAAUUGUAUUGUGACGCAAUAAAAAUGGUAUUAUUACCAGAUACAAAUCUAAUAAAUAUAUUACAAAUAAAAAUCCAAUUAAUUCAAAAUGACGACUUAAAAAGGACGUCUUCUGGUCCUCAAAGUUAAAAGAUAUAGUUUUUAAUUAUGCAAUACAGAAUUCAGGAUAUCUGAAUAUUAUGGAAAAGAAUACAAAUUUAAGAAUUAAGAAGGUUUACACAUUAAAACCUUCUAAUUCACAUAAGCUACAAGUAUCACAAGAUACAGAUUCAAAAUGAACAAAUACAUAUUUACAAAUAUAAGCUACAAAAUACCUAAUCUUAUGCAUUUAACACAAAUCCUAUAAUAAAAAUAAACAGAUUGCAUAAUUAUGUGAAAUAAAUCACAUAAUUACAUAAAAAAAACACAUAAAAACCUAAAAAUAAUUAUAUAAUGCAAUUUCAGUAAUUAGAAGAACUGCUUCUCAUUAUUUGAAGAGACAAUCAUAAAAUACAAAUGGAAAAAGUUAUAGAUACGAGUGUUUGCACCACAAAUUUCAUGCAAUAUCCAAAGUUUAAGUUAAAUUCAUUACUUAGCAAUAACCUUUUUUAAAAGUGUAAAUUUAAUUAUAAUGAGAUAUAAAUCUUUUUGAGCAAGAUACAGAUAAGUUAGGUGGAUGCCGGCGGAGCCCUGCUUGUGAUGAAAGAUGUUGCCAUCCGUGGCUCAUUGCCGCAGUGACCUUGCAAUAGGGAUGUGACGGCUCUCGUACCCCUCCCGACAUACUUGAAACUUAUAAGGAUAAAAUAGUGUGGCAAUUACUGUAGCAAUGAGCAUAUUGUGGAUAGAUUAUGACCAAGUGAGCAUCUGACGUAGUGGUACUUACUACCACUUACCCAUUCUCAUUGCUAUUGUGCCACGAGACAGGAGACGCUUUGUAUGGUGAUUCAAAGUGGUUAGAGGGCUGGCGAUCCUGAUCUGAUGACUGAUGUAAAUGGCCAUGGCUGGGAAAUGUGUGUUCUACUUGUGUAGAAUGAUGUAGCCAUUAAUGACUUACAGGCUGCGCGGCCUGCUUGGAUGAAUGACUGUUGGACAGUUAACAAAAAACAAUUGAGUUAAGAAAGACUGUCUGUUGUUACCAAAUACCUGUUGUCUAAAGUAUGUUUUACAAAGUUGUACAAAUUCAACCUUUAUAAUUAUACAAGUUAUCUAUAACAUGGCAAUACGAAAAUAAAUAGUGUUGAGACAUAAAAAAAAAAAAAUCAGCGAUUAUAUGAAACUUAAAGAUGACGAUAAUAUGGGCACCGUCUGGGUGUAUCGUCAUUAAUUGCAUCAUAAACGGUGUAUAUUAGUUUGUGUCAUUGUUAGAAUGCUGAUCCUUUGGGUUUUUAAAUAAGACUGGGCAUUUCAAUUUCGUCUCUAAUGGUAAAAUUAGGUGUUUUAUUUGUAAAAGAUUAAUUUUCCUUUUUGUCUUAUAUAUUUCCCCCGAAAUGUCUUUAUAAGCAUUAUAGUGGAGGAGCUAAAUCUGAUUCCUUUUAGAUUUGUUGUUUUAGUAUUAUAAUGAAAAAGAAAACGUAAGUAGUCAUUAUCUCUAAACGGCUUCCUGUGGCAUCUGAUGGGGCAAAAGAAAACAAAAAUAAAGUGAGAUGGCCCUGGAGGAGAAAAGUUUACAGAUUGUAGUGAAGAAACGGAGGCAACCUUUCUAGCGUUGGCUGAUGACUGAAUGUGAAACAAUUAUAGCAGAGAUUUGGGUCGAGCGUUUGAGAUGCGAUCCUAUUAGAGCUUUCAGGAGAAACAUGUCAUUUUAUUGACAGUGACAGUGACACUGGAUGUCAUCUUUAAUUGACACUAUGCCAUAGGAGAGCAGGGACUGGGAGAGGGAGAGAGAGAUAGACAAAGAGAGAUAGUGGGAAUCAGAGAUUCAGUCCUACUUCCCCCAGGGCCAUCUUAAUUGGUAAAGUUAGGAAUAUAAGCUAUGAAAUAUUAAAUGUAUAAAAGUAGAAUAUAUUCAUGCUGGAAGCACUCUUGCUCAACAGAAUUUUUUCACAGUAGUGCACCUAAUGGGCACAGUUGGUAAAUAACUGUUUUUCCUAUACUGUUGUAGUGAAAAAAUAAAUCUUUCCACAUUAAAUAAUCAUAAGCGCAUGGGUACCCUCAUCGUAGUUAUUAAAUGCUGACCCGUAUCAGGUUGGAGCUGUCUUCUCAUGUCAUAUGAGGUGUGUUUGGAUGGUUGGCGCCUCCAAAUGGCAAUAAGGUGGUAAUUGUUGGAACAUACUGUUUGUCAAGCUUUCUCAAAAAAGUACUGACCACAUUUUGACUUUGACAUUUUGAAGUUAUUCAAAUAUUCCUUGACCUAUUUUAAGAUUAGACCUUCAAAAUGUCAUUGUUGAUUUUAAUUUACACUAUUUUUAAUUGUUUGUGAGGAAUGAGGAAGUCAUUGGGAUGGACUGGGUAAAGAGGCUUUGGAUGAGCAAUAUAUUUGACUUUAAUAUUUCUUUUCAAUGCAAGAAAUGCAAAAACAGUCAAUAAGUCAGUAGAAUGCACUAUAUUGUAGGGCAUUAGGGGUCAUUUACCCUGUGAUACUGGGAUCAGGAUUGAUCAAGAAAGUAAGCAAUGGCUUUACUAUCAUCCACUACCACUUCUGAAUCAUGCUCGUGCAUUGUUGGUGAUAGGGGAGGCAGAAAGGUCAAGCGCAGUUAAGGAUGGUAGAGGCCGUACCAAGUGAUGAAUCAUUUGUCUAUUUAAUUAUAAUAAGUCUAUUUCCCUCUAUAGUUCAUUUAAAAAAGAGGAUAUGGAGAAAGACUGAAAAUAUAGGUGAAAAUAAAGAGGUUAGAUUACUUUAAAUUCUCAAUUAAGCAGUGUAGAAUAUUUAAAACAUUAUUCUGUAAUAGAAUUAGCAUUGGAACGGUAUUGUUCUGUGGGCUACAAACAUCUGCAUUAUUAUAGAAAUUAUGAAACUCAAGCAAUCAACAACUUAGAAAGGCUAUAAAAUCAAACAUUUUUAUUUUACACAGCAGUGUCAGCAUAAAUACUACUAGUACAUAAGUACCGUAAAAACAAUUGGACGGCCCAGCAAAACAAGUCAGAGAUUUUGAGGAGCAAAACUAACAUGGCCUAAUAGCGUUGACCCAAUACAUUUCAUUUCUAAAAUAGCAUUUCAACAACUCAACCUCACUUGAAACUCAAAAACAGCUGAGAACUAAAUUGUAACUCAUAAGUAUUGUUAUAGGGGAAAUAAUGUAUAUAUCCGGAGCCGGCUACAAUCUUCACUCCCCGCCUGGAGGCAAGCAAAUCCUCUCUGCAGAGCGGAUGACAUGCUGCAGCCUGCCCUUGUCCUUGGCUGUGGCUGCAGCAUACCAGACGGUGAUGGAGGAGCGGAUGGACUCAAUGAUGGCCAUGUAGAUGUCCACCAUUGCUGUCUUUGGUUUAUUCAGCUGCCUCAGGAAGUACAUCCUCUGCUGUGCCUGCAGAGGACUGGAGGUGCAGCUGUUAGUAUACAGAGAGAAGAGCAGAGGGGAAAGAACAAACCCAGGUAGCCAGCGGACUCUGCAACCAGCACUGAAACAGGCUCUGGUCCAUUGAUGGUUGCAGAAUCUGAGCCCAAUCUGGCUUCAUAGAAACGGUCCUAUUCAGGUCAAGACGUGGCCACCAGGUUUAUUGCCAACCAGCACUAAAACAGGUUCUGGCCCGUUGAUGGCUGCCACACCUGGACCGAAUCUGACAUUAUAGCAACGGGCCUAAACUGGUUGAGACAUGGCAGCCGGGUUUAUCGGCCACCAGUACUGAAACUGGCUCUGGCCCAUUGACGGCUACCAAACCUGUCGAGUUUGUCGAAAGCGACACAAGCCUCCUGCAGCCCGCAAGAGUGCGAUUGGUCUGCUAACUACAUCCUUUACGGAGUCUCAGAUUUCUGCUUUCAUAGCACAAUACCGCCAUUAUUAAAACAAAGAAUAUUUGCAAGAGAAUGUGUCAGAUUGAAGAGCUUUUGUCGGAAGAAAUAUGACCACUUAUACAAUCCGUCAUUGGCGGACUAUAAGGACGUGCAGAUGGCCUCUGAUUCAUGGAGGGAGAUCUCCGCAAACGUCGCUUUGCCGGUCAAGGGGUGUACAAAGUUGUUGAGGAAAAUACGGGACAAAUGGUCUGCGAUGAAAAGCAACGGAGGCGAUGCACGGGGCAAUAAAGUCUAUGAUAAAUAAAUAAACAAACCAACGACUUCCACACUCUCUAGGUUGUCUUCGACAAAAAAACUUUCUCCACCUGUUGUUCUGGCGGUGAAUUGCUCUGCAACACACGCAAGCCUUUUUGAACCAUGAAUUGAAAUGAGUGCGUCGACACGACUGUGCGUAAAAAGACGCAGACGCAGAAGUAUCCGCCAGCCUUAAGUCUAGUGAUCCUUGUUUUUUUGGGGACGGCUUCAGCCGGCCCUGUAGCAUAUUGAGGAAGUGCUUGGCUGAGGACAGUGGGCCUUCACCCUGUGCUGAGAGAGUUGGUGUAGAGAGAGAAGAGGAGGGGACCCAGGACGAAACCCUGAAGAACUCCAAUAGUAAGAGGACAAGAUUCCGACACAGCCAGAUGACAGAGAAGAGUUAAUGAGACAGGUGAGGAAAGGAAGACGGUCGGGAGCGAUAGAUUGUAGGAUAUGUGAUGGAAUGUGUGUGAAAGUUGAGGGAAGAGCUGAUAGAACAAAGGAGGCCAGAGAGGAGGAAGAGAGGAAGUGGAUAUUGCGAUGAACCGUUUAGUUGAGUUAGUUGAUGGGGUGAGGUCAUUAGUUAGAGAGAGCAGAAGAGAGUAGGAGACUAAGAAGUGAUUAGAAACAUGAAGUAGAGUUACAGUGAGGUUAGAGGUUACAAAGAGCCUGAGAACACCCAUGGGCUUGGACAAUUCUCAUCCAGACUACUUGUAGCAGUCCUGAAAAUAUCCCAGUCUGUACAGUCCAGACAUGCCUGGAGGUCUGUCACGGUGUGGUUUUAUUUCCUGUCUUAUUUUGUAGUUUUCUGCUGCUUGUCUCCCUGGGUAACUUCACUUCCUGCCUUGUCCUGUCAUCCUCUGUGAUUGUCUGAUUGUUUCCACCUGUGUCCAAUCACCUGCACCUCCCUAGUGUAUUUAAGCGGUGUGUGUCUCCUGUCACUUGUCGCGUCAUUGUCUAUCGUCCUGGUUGUUCUCGGGUUCCUGUGUGCCUUUUUGCCACCAGUUCCUGUGUGUGUUUUUGCCCGUUGGCCUUUUGCUUUUUUGAAUUUUGACUAUUAAAGUCUUCUUUUGUUACUCCACGUCUGCGUUUGAGUCCUGCCUUCCACCCACCCUGUCACUAAAAUACUACUUCUUCUAGUGGUGACUGUAACUGACACUACUAGGAAAAAGUACUACUAGUAUUCCUACUGCUAUUAAUACUACAAGUUCCUGCCUGCCUUUUUCCCCUGGUACUUGGAUGCGUUUUUGCCCCUUGGCCUUUUGUUUGUUUUUUGACUAUUAAAGUCUUCUUUUGUUACUUGACGUCUGCGUUUGAGUCCUGCCUCCCCACGCAUCCCUGACAGAAUGACGCGACCACGAAGGGACUCAGCGGACCUGCUGCCAGAUUAUGGGCCCGACUAUAUGGAUGUGAGGAGCCCGUUCUGGCAGCGUAAGGCUAACUUUAUCUUCGGUCCCAGGGGCUCUCAGCUCGCCUGCCUCGAGCUCUGGGAUCUUCUAAAUCCCAGGAGGAGCCCUGGCAAGAGGAAGCACCGACCUCCCGUUCCCGCUGGGCCGCUGCAGCGCUAUCCCGUUCCCGCUGGGCCGCCGCAGCGCUCUCCCGUUGCCGUUCCCCGACUCGGCCAGUACCGGCCCCGAGACUCUCAGCCCCGACCCCGACUCGGCCAGUACCGGCUCCGAGACUCAUGACCCCGACGCCCCCAGUCCCCGCUCCGAGACUCAAGCUCCCUCCCUCCCAUCCCGUGGUAACUUCACUUCCUGCCUUGUCCUGUCAUCGUCAGUGAUUGUCUGAUUGUUUCCAUCUGUGUCCAAUCACCUGCACCUCCUUAGUGUAUUUAAGCGCUGUGUGUCUCCUGUCACUUGUCGCGUCAUUGUCUAUCGUUCUGGAUGUUCCGAGUUCCUGCCUGCCUUUUUCCCCUGGUACUUGUAUGCGUUUUUGCCCCUUGGCCUUUUGUUUGUUGCCUUUUGACUAUUAAAGUCUUCUUUUGUUACUUGAUGUCUGCGUUUGAGUCCUGCCUCCCCACGCAUCCCUGACAAGGUCCUCCUCAGCCCUACUGGCCCACUGCUUUGAUUUCCUGACAAUCUUACAGUUCUAAUUUCUGCCUGUAUGCAGGAAUCAGAUGGAUUAAAGAGUGUCCCAGUGCAGCACGAAGGACGGUGUUAUAAGCCCUGCAUAUUUAGAUCAUGCUGACAGAUACAUGCAUAGUUCAGUAAAGCAUUUAUAAAUGUUAACAGGACAAAGGCACAUAUAUGAACAAGUGCACAGUAAAUAAAGACACACCGACAGACACACACAUUGAGCAUUUUUAUAUUUAUAGCAUCUCUGUGUGACUGCAGCUUUACAAAUUGGGUCAGACUGAUAUAUCAAGACAAUACAGUACAGCUAUUCAGAAUGUCUGCAGUGAUGGAUGUGAUGCAGUUUGAUUGAUUCCAUGCUUAUUGUAAAUUGAAUCAAUACGGCUCUAUUUGCCUGUGGGACACACUGUCAGUGUCCCCUGAUGGUCCAAGCGCUUUUGGAGAAGCUUUUCUACUCUGACAAGAAUAAUAUGGUUAAAUGGUCGUGUACCAAAACAUUAUUCACUGGAGGUUCCCAUUAAAUUGUGAACUGGCCAAAGGCUAUAUUUACUAUAAAAAUUACCUCUAAAAUAUCUAACAAAUUAACCUGCUAUCAAAACAACUAAAAUGAUACAUGCAUUCAAACUUUUUUUUUUUAGAGAAAAUAUUACUAAAAUAUUGG